AUUGAACGCUGGCGGCAGGCCUAACACAUGCAAGUCGAGCGGAUGAAGGGAGCUUGCUCCUGGAUUCAGCGGCGGACGGGUGAGUAAUGCCUAGGAAUCUGCCUGGUAGUGGGGGAUAACGUCCGGAAACGGGCGCUAAUACCGCAUACGUCCUGAGGGAGAAAGUGGGGGAUCUUCGGACCUCACGCUAUCAGAUGAGCCUAGGUCGGAUUAGCUAGUUGGUGGGGUAAAGGCCUACCAAGGCGACGAUCCGUAACUGGUCUGAGAGGAUGAUCAGUCACACUGGAACUGAGACACGGUCCAGACUCCUACGGGAGGCAGCAGUGGGGAAUAUUGGACAAUGGGCGAAAGCCUGAUCCAGCCAUGCCGCGUGUGUGAAGAAGGUCUUCGGAUUGUAAAGCACUUUAAGUUGGGAGAAAGGGCAGUAAGUUAAUACCUUGCUGUUUUGACGUUAACAACAGAAUAAGCACCGGCUAACUUCGUG
rnacentral:rRNA from 1 species